rnacentral:siRNA from 1 species
CCACUCCACCUAUUGUCAAUUGGU